GGUCCCUAACCCUGGGUCACACCCUCACGUGACCAGCAUCCCUACCUGAUCUGGUAUCUCUAUUCAUCUUGUUGGGAUGGCCUGUGUCCUCUCUGGCCUGCACUUCCCUGGGUGUCCCCAUCACUUGGGAAGCUAUAGCUGGGGCUGAUUUUUCCUUUUGCCUCUUCAGGGCCCUGAGCAGCACCACAUCCCACAUCCCACAUCCCACAUUCCACAUCCUCUUAGUGUCCACACUACAUCCUGGGCUACUGCAAUGGGCACCUUGAUCUCUGCAAGGCCCAGCUGGAGCUGAGGAAAUGUCAGCCCCAUCGCUCACCCACCAAGCCUCUGAAAACACAGAGGCCAGAGCAGAAGGCUGCAUGGACAGGAGGCUCUCUUGGGAGCAGAGGCACUACUGGCCCCAGACCGCUGUGCAAUGACUCUUCCCAUCUGAGGUCUUCAUCGUGGAACCAGGACCUGCGCAAGCCCCAGACACACCCUUCAUUGGUCUUGCAGAGGAGCAGCUCGGCUCUGACCCCUUUCCUACAUGCAUCCCUUCUGCCCUCACAGUGGGCCUGUGGGCUGAGCCCAGUCCUCCAGGCGCCUGGAGGGUGUGGCAAAGACGCCUGGUCCCCAGUACGGUCCCCAGCUGUACACAGUUUUGGACAAAAACGGGGCUUGUCCUACAUGUCCCCUGGAAGGCACCCGCAGGGCAGCAGGGCAGCACCCUGGCUGUCCUAUCCUACCCAGUGGGAGGUGCUGGCCCUUGUCCUGAAUGGAGGACAUGAGCGCCCCCACAGGGAUGAGUGGCAGGAAGCAGCUCCUUGUUUCUGUGGCUCUUGCCAGCAGCCAUGAAGGUGCCAACUUCUGCGUCUUGCUUCUGGAAUGGAAUGUUUUAAUUGAGAUAUUUAGUUAAGAUAAACAAGAAUUCUCAUAAUGUCUCUUUUGCUGGAAAAUUAGGAGAUCGAAAGCCUUGGAGAACAACAUGAGUGAAAUUGCAAAACUGAAACAGACCCUAGCAGGAACAGGGGCGGAUAUGACAGGGCAGGCUUGCCGGGAAGGCAGACUUGGGGCAGGCAGGACUCCUGGCAGGGAAGGAGGAGGGUGGAGCUUGCGUGCCUGGUCUGAGGGAGGCUGUGGAGUGAGGAGAGGGAUCCAGGGGAGGAGAAGGCCAGGAAGGCACCCUCACCCCAAGCGAUGCGGAACUCUCCCAACAAGGGAGUACAGGCGCCAUCGCCCUGGAGUGUGUGCCAGCUGCCAGGGACUCAGGAGAAAGCCCACAUGUCCCAGUGUGUCUCAAGGAGGGUCAGGAUGCUCAGAAAAGAGACCAUCACUUCCCUUACUACCUACCAAUAGUCACCAAUUAUUCAGCGUGACCUGGAGGAGGCUGUCGGGAAGCUUGAAGGAAGCUGACGAAUGAACAUAAUCACAGUGGCUCUGCAAAAGAAGCUUCGGGUGCCUUUGAGUUACACCCAGUUUGCAAAAUUCCUGCAUGGCAGGUCACGUACCUCUCCUUCCUCACAGUCCACAGCACGAAACACGAGUGUCUCUUUGCAUGGGGUCAGCAUGGAGCUCGGGUGCCAAUGCCUGCCUCUCCAUGAGCUACCUUCAGAUGACCUGAGAGUCCCCUGGCACCCAAAACACAACACAAUGGUCGCAGAAGCAGGUCAGGUUUAGACAGUGGGCUUCCAAUUAGGUAUCCCUAAAGUAAUGUGGAGGCAUGUUAUGUGAAAACAAUUCCUUAUUUUAAUAUAUAUAUAUUCAGUCCCCAAGUUAAAUGCAGUAUUGCUUAAAAUUUGUUUAUGAGUUGGGUGAUUUUCUUACAUUUACUUUGAAAGCAAACAAAACUGAGUACAAUACCUGCUGAGGGGGAAAACCACGACUUAUUAGAGAUC
rnacentral:lncRNA from 1 species